UUAGCUCAGUGGUAGAGCACUUGACUUUUAAUCACGGGGUCGUGAGUUCGAGUCUCACA
rnacentral:tRNA from 1 species